GCACCCGUAGCUUAAUUGGACAAGAAGACGCCAGCGGAAAACUUUGGAAACUCGAUCUCGGACGGCUGGUAGCGUCUUUCCAGGGCAUCACUGCCGGAAGUUCGAGCCGUGUGGAAUUAGUCGAACAACGGGGUCUCAAAAGCACCAGUUUUGGGGGCUGGGAGAUGCGGGUUCAAGUCCCGUCAGGUGCGCCA
rnacentral:tRNA from 1 species